AGUGAACGCUGGCGGUAGGCCUAACACAUGCAAGUCGAACGGCAGCACAGUAAGAGCUUGCUCUUACGGGUGGCGAGUGGCGGACGGGUGAGGAAUACAUCGGAAUCUACUUUUUCGUGGGGGAUAACGUAGGGAAACUUACGCUAAUACCGCAUACGACCUACGGGUGAGAGCAGGGGAUCUUCGGACCUUGCGCGAUUGAAUGAGCCGAUGUCGGAUUAGCUAGUUGGCGGGGUAAAGGCCCACCAAGGCGACGAUCCGUAGCUGGUCUGAGAGGAUGAUCAGCCACACUGGAACUGAGACACGGUCCAGACUCCUACGGGAGGCAGCAGUGGGGAAUAUUGGACAAUGGGCGCAAGCCUGAUCCAGCCAUACCGCGUGGGUGAAGAAGGCCUUCGGGUUGUAAAGCCCUUUUGUUGGGAAAGAAAAGCGGCAGGUUAAUACCCCGCUGUUCUGACGGUACCCAAAGAAUAAGCACCGGCUAACUUCGUG
rnacentral:rRNA from 1 species